rnacentral:miRNA from 2 species
AAAGUGCUUUUUGUUUUGGGCAU